rnacentral:rRNA from 1 species
GAUGAACGCUGGCGGCGUGCCUAACACAUGCAAGUCGAACGGAGUCCAGCCUUUAAGACCUUCGGGUCAAAGAGGGGAAGACUGAGUGGCGGACGGGUGAGUAACACGUGGGCAACCUGGCUCAUAGAGGGGGAUAACAGAGAGAAAUUUCUGCUAAUACCGCAUAAGCACACACUGCCGCAUGGCAGAGUGUGAAAAGAGAAUCGCUAUGAGAUUGACCCGCGUUGAUUAGCCAGUUGGCAGGGUAAGAGCCUACCAAAGCGACGAUCAGUGCCGAUCUGAGAGGAUGAACGGCCACAUUGGGACUGAGACACGGCCCAAACUCCUACGGGAGGCAGCAGUGGGGGAUAUUGCACAAUGGGGGGAACCCUGAUGCAGCGACGCCGCGUGAGUGAAGAAGUAUUUCGGUAUGUAAAGCUCUAUCAAGCCUGGGAAAG